CUACCCUUGACAUGUCAAGGAUUCUGCAGAGAUGUGGAAGUGCUCGAAAGAGAACUUGAACACAGGUGCUGCAUGGCCGUCGUCAGCUCGUGUCGUGAGAUGUUGGGUUAAGUCCCGCAACGAGCGCAACCCUUAUCAAUAGUUGCUACGCAAGGGCACUCUAUUGAGACUGCCGGUGACAAACCGGAGGAAGGUGGGGAUGACGUCAGGUCAUCAUGGCCCUUACGGCCUGGGCUACACACGUGCUACAAUGGUCGGUACAGAGGGCUGCCAAGCCGCGAGGUGGAGCUAAUCCCAUAAAACCGAUUGUAGUCCAGAUCGCAGUCUGCAACUCGACUGCGUGAAGUCGGAAUCGCUAGUAAUCGCGAAUCAGAAUGUCGCGGUGAAUACGUUCCC
rnacentral:rRNA from 1 species